rnacentral:rRNA from 1 species
ACGGGUGAGUAAUAUAUCGGAACGUGCCCAGUAGUGGGGGAUAGCCCGGCGAAAGCCGGAUUAAUACCGCAUACGACCUACGGGUGAAAGCGGGGGAUCGCAAGACCUCGCGCUAUUGGAGCGGCCGAUAUCAGAUUAGGUAGUUGGUGAGGUAAAGGCUCACCAAGCCGACGAUCUGUAGCUGGUCUGAGAGGACGACCAGCCACACUGGGACUGAGACACGGCCCAGACUCCUACGGGAGGCAGCAGUGGGGAAUUUUGGACAAUGGGCGCAAGCCUGAUCCAGCCAUGCCGCGUGCGGGAAGAAGGCCUUCGGGUUGUAAACCGCUUUUGUCAGGGAAGAAAUCCUUUGGGCUAAUACCCCGGGGGGAUGACGGUACCUGAAGAAUAAGCACCGGCUAACUACGUGCCAGCAGCCGCGGUAAUACGUAGGGUGCAAGCGUUAAUCGGAAUUACUGGGCGUAAAGCGUGCGCAGGCGGUUCUAUAAGACAGAUGUGAAAUCCCCGGGCUCAACCUGGGAACUGCAUUUGUGACUGUAGAGCUGGAGUACGGUAGAGGGGGAUGGAAUUCCGCGUGUAGCAGUGAAAUGCGUA